rnacentral:rRNA from 1 species
UACGUAGGGUGCAAGCGUUUAUCCGGAAUUAUUGGGCGUAAAGAGCUCGUAGGCGGUUUGUCGGCGUCUGCCGUGAAAGUCCGGGGCUCAACUCCGGAUCUGCGGUGGGUACGGGCAGACUGGAGUACUGCAGGGGAGACUGGAAUUCCUGGUGUAGCGGUGAAAUGCGCAGAUAGUCAGGAGGAAUACCGGUGGUGUAGACGGCUCUCUGGACCGCCACCUGGACGCUGAAGACACGAAAGCGUGGGUAGCAAACAGG